GGGUGUUUAGUCUAGUGGUCAGGACGCUUCGUUGUGGUUAACCGAAGAAACCCCGGUUCGAUUCCGGGAACGCCCA